AUGUAAUCUACAUAUUUUAAAGCUAGCAAAAGAAAGAUUAUUGAUUAGGGGUCAAGUGGAAUUUGGCACCAAAUGCCAUUGUUGUACCCAGAGUCCUUUCACUCACUGUCCAGAGGAGUAACUGCAAUGCAGGCUCGCUUCUCUGGAGAGAAACUCCACACAUUUACAGGGGAUUUACAGCAGGAACAUUUCUGCUUUGGGAAAGUUUGGUGUGACUUUUGUAGCUUUUACAUUAAAGUGAGGUGCCUGUCUGAGAAAUCCAGCUUAUCUUUCCAGGUCUCACUCUCACAGUAAGAUGUUCAUUGUCAGCCUGGAGCAUUCAUCCCGUGGCACCAAACCAAGGUGCUAUGAGACAGCUUGUCCUGUUUGAGUCAUUUCACCAUUUAACAAGCAGCUGAUGAGCUCUCCCGGGGGUGAGAUGUGCUCCAUCUCCUGGGAAUGAGAUGUGCUCCAUCUCCCAGGGGUGAGAUGUGCUCCAUCCCUCCUGCAGGUGAGAUGUGCUCCAUCUCCCAGGGGUGAGAUGUGCUCCAUCUCCCAGGGAUGAGAUGUGCUCCAUCCCUCCUGCAGGUGAGAUGUGCUCCAGCUCUCCCGGGGGUGGGAUGCCCUGAUCCACGUGCCUCUGUGGAUGAUGCAGAACUCCUCCCUUCCCAAGCAAUCCGUUCCGUACCGGGUCAGGAUCAGGUGUGGCAGUGGCCAAAGCUGGCAGUGCGAGGGGGUGUCGGGCUCUGCCCCCUUCCCAGCCCUGCUCACGCCUCCAGGGGAAUGUGGCAGCGCCUGCAGAGCUGGAUGCUGCUCCAGGCAGGAUGGCAGCUCCUCCCGCCCUCUCACUCAGCACCAUCAGGAUUUUUAAUGCCCCUGCUUUGACCUUUCGUUUCCUUACUGACCACAUGAGAAAACCCAGCAAAUCCUAAGAAAUUCCUGCGUGACAGAAGGUCAGAUUUAGGGUGGUGUUACAAACUUUCUGUUUGGACACCUGUCCAUAGGUUCCUACAUGCCUUGUGCCACCACCACCACCAGUCCUCAGUGAUCUCCAGUGACCUGGAACAGCUGCCCCAGUGCCAGUCUGUGUCUGCAGCAGCCCCAGCCAGGCUGAGCAGGGCCAUUGGGCUGCACAGGUCCCCGAGGCUCCUGAUUUCCCCAGGAUCUGCCAUUUACCUCAAGGAGCGGCAGCCAGAAGAUGUGUCAAAGCACCUUCUUCAGCAUUUCAGGGAAGGGCCACAGUGAGCAUGUUUUGCAACUCAUUGUUAAAUUGAGAAUAAAAAAUCCCCAGCUGCCUUACACCCUGGCUGUUUUUUUUUUUGUUCCCGGCCAAGUAAAAACCCAGAAAAAUACCCCAAGAUAGGCUAGAAAAGACCCAAAAAACGAAGAAAAAAAACACAACAUGGGUGAGAAUACCCAGAAAAAAACCCCCAAGAUGGGCAAGAAAAAACGCAGAAAACACCCACAGAAAACCAAGAAAAAAACCUCAAGAUGGGCAAGAAGAAUCCCAGAAAAAAAA